rnacentral:rRNA from 1 species
AGGACGAACGCUGGCGGCGUGCUUAACACAUGCAAGUGGUGCGACGAACCGGGGCUUGCCCCGGGGCCAAGCCGCGAACGGGUGAGUAACACGUGAGUAAUCUGCCCCGAUGACCGGGACAACCCGAGGAAACUCGGGCUAAUACCGGAUGUGGUGCACAGAUCUAAGUUUGUGUACUAAAGGAAGCUUCGGCCUCCGCAUUGGGAGGAGCUCGCGGCCCAUUAGCCUGUUGGUGGGGUAACGGCCUACCAAGGCAACGAUGGGUAGCUGGUCUGAGAGGACGAUCAGCCACACUGGGACUGAGACACGGUCCAGACUCCUACGGGAGGCAGCAGUGGGGAAUCUUGCACAAUGGGCGAAAGCCUGAUGCAGCGACGCCGCGUGGGGGAUGAAGCUUUUCGGAGUGUAAACCCCUUUCGACCCGGACGAAUGCCCCGCAACGGGGACUGACGGUACGGGUAUAAGAAGCCCCGGCUAACUACGUGCCAGCAGCCGC